rnacentral:rRNA from 1 species
GGGUGACGAGCGGCGGACGGGUGAGUAAUGUCUGGGAAACUGCCUGAUGGAGGGGGAUAACUACUGGAAACGGUAGCUAAUACCGCAUAACGUCGCAAGACCAAAGUGGGGGACCUUCGGGCCUCAUGCCAUCAGAUGUGCCCAGAUGGGAUUAGCUAGUAGGUGGGGUAAUGGCUCACCUAGGCGACGAUCCCUAGCUGGUCUGAGAGGAUGACCAGCCACACUGGAACUGAGACACGGUCCAGACUCCUACGGGAGGCAGCAGUGGGGAAUAUUGCACAAUGGGCGCAAGCCUGAUGCAGCCAUGCCGCGUGUAUGAAGAAGGCCUUCGGGUUGUAAAGUACUUUCAGCGAGGAGGAAGGCAUUAAGGUUAAUAACCUUAGUGAUUGACGUUACUCGCAGAAGAAGCACCGGCUAACUCCGUGCCAGCAGCCGCGGUAAUACGGAGGGUGCAAGCGUUAAUCGGAAUUACUGGGCGUAAAGCGCACGCAGGCGGUUUGUUAAGUCAGAUGUGAAAUCCCCGGGCUCAACCUGGGAACUGCAUUUGAAACUGGCAAGCUUGAGUCUUGUAGAGGGGGGUAGAAUUCCAGGUGUAGCGGUGAAAUGCGUAGAGAUCUGGAGGAAUACCGGUGGCGAAGGCGGCCCCCUGGACAAAGACUGACG